CUGAACACUCCAGAACGCUGAUGGGGCGAUUUGUUUGUAUUGACUAAUGAUCAUUUAACAGAUUUACUGAUGGAUUGACAGUUCAGGAAACCAACAGUCUGGAAAUAAAAAACAUCUGGAACUCCAUAACUUCCCUUUCUGCUUUCUCUGAGCCCGUAAACUGUCUAUCUAGGUAUAGAAGGAGUCAUAGUUCCACUAAUCAGGAGGUCUAGAAGGAGUCAUAGUACCACUAAUCAGGAGGUCAAGAAGGAGUCAUAGUUCCACUAAUCAGGAGGUCUAGAAGGAGUCAUAGUUCCACUAAUCAGGAGGUCUAGAAGGAGUCAUAGUACCACUAAUCAGGAGGUCUAGAAGGAGUCAUAGUUCCACUAAUCAGGAGGUAUAGAAGGAGUUAUAGUUCCACUAAUCAGGAGGUCUAGAAGGAGUCAUAGUACCACUAAUCAGGAGGUCUAGAAGGAGUCAUAGUUCCACUAAUCAGGAGGUAUAGAAGGAGUUAUAGUUCCACUAAUCAGGAGGUCUAGAAGGAAUUAUAGUUCCACUAAUCAGGAGGUCUAGAAGGAGUCAUAGUACCACUAAUCAGGAGGUCUAGAAGGAGUCAUAGCACCACUAAUCAGGAGGUAUAGAAGGAGUCAUAGUUCCACUAAUCAGGAGGUCUAGAAGGAGUCACAGUUCCACUAAUCAGGAGGUCUAGAAGGAGUCAUAGUACCACUAAUCAGGAGGUCUAGAAGGAGUCAUAGUACCACUAAUCAGGAGGUCUAGAAGGAGUCAUAGUACCGCUAAUCAGGAGGUCUAGAAGGAGUCAUAGUUCCACUAAUCAGGAGGUAUAGAAGGAGUCAUAGUACCACUAAUCAGGAGGUCUAGAAGGAAUUAUAGUUCCACUAAUCAGGAGGUCUAGAAGGAGUCAUAGUACCACUAAUCAGGAGGUCUAGAAGGAGUCAUAGCACCACUAAUCAGGAGGUCUAGAAGGAGUCAUAGUUCCACUAAUCAGGAGGUCUAGAGGGAGUCAUAGUUCCACUAAUCAGGAGGUCUAGAAGGAGUCAUAGUACCACUAAUCAGGAGGUCUAGAAGGAGUCAUAGUACCGCUAAUCAGGAGGUCUAGAGGGAGUCAUAGUUCCACUAAUCAGGAGGUACAGAAGGAGUCAUAGUACCACUAAUCAGGAGGUCUAGAAGGAAUUAUAGUUCCACUAAUCAGGAGGUCUAGAAGGAGUCAUAGUUCCACUAAUCAGGAGGUCUAGAAGGAGUCAUAGCACCACUAAUCAGGAGGUCUAGAAGGAGUCAUAGUUCCACUAAUCAGGAGGUCUAGAAGGAGUCAUAGUUCCACUAAUCAGGAGGUAUAGAAGGAGUCAUAGUUCCACUAAUCAGGAGGUCUAGAAGGAGUCAUAGUUCCACUAAUCAGGAGGUCUAGAAGGAGUCAUAGUUCCACUAAUCAGGAGGUAUAGAAGGAGUCAUAGUUCCACUAAUCAGGAGGUAUAGAAGGAGUCAUAGUAGCACUAAUCAGGAGGUCUAGAGGGAGUCAUAGUUCCACUAAUCAGGAGGUCUAGAAGGAGUCAUAGUUCCACUAAUCAGGAGGUAUAGAAGGAGUCAUAGUACCACUAAUCAGGAGGUCUAGAAGGAGUCAUAGUAGCACUAAUCAGGAGGUCUAGAAGGAGUCAUAGUUCCACUAAUCAGGAGAUCGAGAAGGAGUCAUAGUAUCACUAAUCGGGGCUACAAGGUAAAUGCCCAUGCUUGGUGCUCUGAACUAAA